CUCAAGAUUAAAAAUAGAUCAUAUUCAGCAAAGUACAGUGGUAGGUGAAACUCACUACGCAUUAUUUCAUUUUAGCAAUCAGAAAAAUGUGUUUUGUGUCAAAACGUUUUGUGUCCAUUUGCGUGUUGAGAGUGAAAAAUUAGCAAAACAUUUACAAUAAUGUUUAACCAGAGCUUACCACAGCGCGUAGCAAGUAGAGGAUAUAUAUAUGAAGAUUAAUAACUAUCUAAUUACUGAUAACAGAGGUGAACAUUACAAUACUUUAGUCAUGUCUAGUGGCUGAUCCUGGUAUAUUUUGUAGGGAGUUUUGAAAUUAACAAAGCGGUAUAUUUCUGGGACAACGUAUGUUUCUUUGCGCAAUUUAUUCCUCUAGUUUACCAUUGUUAGAUAGUGUCCAGUCUAUAUCGGCUGAAAAUGUGAAAACAAACGUAUCUUGUUUCAUUUAUGUGAUACGUGUACCUUUCGUUGUGGUAAAACUUGUAACACCAAUUUGAUGUUGUCUGUUCAAAAAGCUUUGCUUAUAGUAUUGUAUCAAGAUUUUAAACUUAUAUAGAUGUUUAACAUGUAUGUCAAUUCUUCAUUUAGAAUUGUAAAAACAUUUUCAUUUUAACUGAAAAAAUAAUAUUCUUUGAUAAGUUGUCCAAAAGAAUAUCAGGUAAUAAGCUAUCGCAAAUCCAACUAAUCAAAUUACAAUUUUGUAGUAGUACCUACGACAAAAGUGAAGAGGUAUCACAGUACGUUCACCCAAAAGUACAAGGAACGUAUAUUAAAUAACACUUAUAAUAAGGAGAGAAACCCUGCGGUAAUAGAAUCUCAACUCUAAAAUAUAUUUGUGGUUGACGAUCCAAAUGGCCAGUGUGGUUUUGGAAACAAUUGCUUGGAAAAUCGCUGUGGAUGUGCGCCCAAACCACCUGCGGAUGGCCUUCAGGCAUGAAUUCUGGCGUCUUCCGAUGGAUCUUUUUCCCUGAAUCUUCCCUUCGAUGAUGAGUUUCAGGAUUUAGCACAUCAAUCAAAUAAUUAAUAAAUGCAACGAAGCCUUGAAAGAAGUAAAACAUAUUUAAUAAAAAAUCAUCUUAAUGUUCAUAUUAUAUUCGUAUUAUAACAUAUAAUUCUAUGGAAAAAUGCCACUAUCACUUAUCACUAUUUGUCCAACAUUACAACUAAUUAAACAAAGUAAAUACUUAGGUUUCAAUUUAGUUUAUACAUACUAACUAAGAUUAAAGUAUAGUCAUUCCUGAUUUUUUUUACU